CGGGUGAGUAACACGUGGGCAAUCUGCCCUGCACUCUGGGACAAGCCCUGGAAACGGGGUCUAAUACCGGAUACUGAUCCUCGCAGGCAUCUGCGAGGUUCGAAAGCUCCGGCGGUGCAGGAUGAGCCCGCGGCCUAUCAGCUAGUUGGUGAGGUAACGGCUCACCAAGGCGACGACGGGUAGCCGGCCUGAGAGGGCGACCGGCCACACUGGGACUGAGACACGGCCCAGACUCCUACGGGAGGCAGCAGUGGGGAAUAUUGCACAAUGGGCGAAAGCCUGAUGCAGCGACGCCGCGUGAGGGAUGACGGCCUUCGGGUUGUAAACCUCUUUCAGCAGGGAAGAAGCGAAAGUGACGGUACCUGCAGAAGAAGCGCCGGCUAACUACGUGCCAGCAGCCGCGGUAAUACGUAGGGCGCAAGCGUUGUCCGGAAUUAUUGGGCGUAAAGAGCUCGUAGGCGGCUUGUCACGUCGGUUGUGAAAGCCCGGGGCUUAACCCCGGGUCUGCAGUCGAUACGGGCAGGCUAGAGUUCGGUAGGGGAGAUCGGAAUUCCUGGUGUAGCGGUGAAAUGCGCAGAUAUCAGGAGGAACACCGGUGGCGAAGGCGGAUCUCUGGGCCGAUACUGACGCUGAGGAGCGAAAGCGUGGGGAGCGAACAGGAUUAGAUACCCUGGUAGUCCACGCCGUAAACGGUGGGCACUAGGUGUGGGCAACAUUCCACGUUGUCCGUGCCGCAGCUAACGCAUUUAAGUGCCCCGCCUGGGGAGUACGGCCGCAAGGCUAAAACUCAAAGGAAUUGACGGGGGGCCCCGCACAAGCGGCGGAGCAUGUGGCUUAAUUCGACGCAACGCGAAGAACCUUACCAAGGCUUGACAUACACCGGAAAACCNCUGGAGACAGGGUCCCCCUUGUGGUCGGUGUACAGGUGGUGCAUGGCUGUCGUCAGCUCGUGUCGUGAGAUGUUGGGUUAAGUCCCGCAACGAGCGCAACCCUUGUCCCGUGUUGCCAGCAGGCCCUUGUGGUGCUGGGGACUCACGGGAGACCGCCGGGGUCAACUCGGAGGAAGGUGGGGACGACGUCAAGUCAUCAUGCCCCUUAUGUCUUGGGCUGCACACGUGCUACAAUGGCCGGUACAAUGAGCUGCGAUACCGCGAGGUGGAGCCUCAUUCAAAAAGCCGGUCUCAGUUCGGAUUGGGGUCUGCAACUCGACCCCAUGAAGUCGGAGUCGAUAGUAAUCGCAGAUCAGCAUUGCUGCGGGGAAUACGUUCCCGGGCGUUGUACACACCGCCCGUCACGUCGCGAAAGUUUGUAACAUGUGAAGCCGGUGGCCCAACCCG
rnacentral:rRNA from 1 species